rnacentral:misc_RNA from 1 species
UGGGAUGCGUGCCUCGGUGUAUAAUGCGAUGCCGAUGGCCGGUGCAGAGAAGCUUGUGGCAUUCAUGAAGGAUUUCCAAGCAAGGCAUGGCUGAUUUGAUUGACUUGCGGUGGUAGCUAAUCACUUUCAGGUCAAAAAAUGGCAAUUUAUUCUCAUGAAUUGUGUUUGCGGUAUUGUUAAUUCUAGUUAGAAAUCUUUAAUGUCUAUGAGGUUUUGGUCAUUCUAGUUUGAAAUCUAUUCAAUGUCA